rnacentral:lncRNA from 1 species
ACACUUACUUUCCCUAUGAUCAUAUUAUUUUGAAGCAUACCCCAGACCCAAUCAUUUCCCUCUUAACUAUUUCAAUACAGACAGGAGCACUGAACUUUCUUCUUUGUAAAAUUUGGAUGUUUAUGUCCUCAGCCCUCCCUUUUCUUCUAUCUUCUAACUCUCUGGACAAAAUUCUAACCAACAACAAUCCAAUCUUCUAACUCCACGCUGUGUAGACUGAGAUAACAGAUUCUUGGUUGCCAACCUCAGCCAGCCCAUAGCACUGGUCAGCAAUUGUUCUGACAAUUCUGAUACCUACCGUAAAGCCCUUAUACUAACAACUAUAUACUCAUCUGGCAUACAUUUAGGGAGUGUCUCACUUGGACUCAGGUGACACAGGGCACUCCCCUCCCCUCUCAUGGCUCCCAGGAAUGCAUGGGCACACCUCCAACACCGAGCUUCUAACGGAGGUGCCUGCUGUCCACUCACCAAUGUUCCCAGAUGGUGUGGAUGAGAUUACCCAGGGAAAAAGAGUCCAGAUGAAACCCAAG